CCUACGGGAGGCAGCAGUGAGGAAUAUUGGUCAAUGGCCGGAAGGCUGAACCAGCCAAGCCGCGUGAGGGACGAAGGUGCCAAGCAUCGUAAACCUCUUUUGUCAGGGGACAAAAUCCGGGACGCGUCCCGGACUGAGGGUACCUGAAGAAAAAGCAUCGGCUAACUCCGUGCCAGCAGCCGCGGUAAUACGGAGGAUGCGAGCGUUAUCCGGAUUUAUUGGGUUUAAAGGGUGCGUAGGCGGACUUUUAAGUCAGCGGUAAAAUCUCGGGGCUCAACCCCGGCGAGCCGUUGAAACUGGGGGUCUUGAGAGGGGCGGAGGCAUGCGGAAUGCGCGGUGUAGCGGUGAAAUGCUUAGAUAUCGCGCAGAACCCCGAUUGCGAAGGCAGCGUGCCGGGC
rnacentral:rRNA from 1 species